rnacentral:rRNA from 1 species
CCUACGGGAGGCAGCAGUAGGGAAUCUUCCGCAAUGGACGAAAGUCUGACGGAGCAACGCCGCGUGAGUGAUGAAGGCUUUCGGGUCGUAAAACUCUGUUGUUAGGGAAGAACAAGUGCUAGUUGAAUAAGCUGGCACCUUGACGGUACCUAACCAGAAAGCCACGGCUAACUACGUGCCAGCAGCCGCGGUAAUACGUAGGUGGCAAGCGUUAUCCGGAAUUAUUGGGCGUAAAGCGCGCGCAGGUGGUUUCUUAAGUCUGAUGUGAAAGCCCACGGCUCAACCGUGGAGGGUCAUUGGAAACUGGGAGACUUGAGUGCAGAAGAGGAAAGUGGAAUUCCAUGUGUAGCGGUGAAAUGCGUAGAGAUAUGGAGGAACACCAGUGGCGAAGGCGACUUUCUGGUCUGUAACUGACACUGAGGCGCGAAAGCGUGGGGAGCAAACAGGAUUAGAUACCCUGGUAGUCCACGCCGUAAACGAUGAGUGCUAAGUGUUAGAGGGUUUCCGCCCUUUAGUGCUGAAGUUAACGCAUUAAGCACNCCGCCUGGGGAGUACGGCCGCANGC